CCUACGGGAGGCAGCAGUAGGGAAUUUUCCACAAUGGGCGAAAGCCUGAUGGAGCAACGCCGCGUGCAGGAUGAAUGCCUUAGGGUUGUAAACUGCUUUUAUAUGUGACGCGGUAGCAUAUGAAUAAGGAUCGGCUAACUCCGUGCCAGCAGCCGCGGUCAUACGGAGGAUCCAAGCGUUAUCCGGAAUUACUGGGCGUAAAGAGUGCGUAGGUGGCAUUGUAAGUAGGUAGUGAAAGCGUUCGGCUCAACCGGAUAAACAUUACUUAAACUGCAAAGCUAGAGGACAAGAGAGGUCACUGGAAUUCCCUGUGUAGGAGUGAAAUCCGUAGAUAUAGGGAGGAACACCGAUGGCGUAGGCAGGUGACUGGUUUUCCUGACACUAAGGCACGAAAGCGUGGGUAGCAAACGGGAUUAGAUACCCUUGUAGUC
rnacentral:rRNA from 1 species